rnacentral:rRNA from 1 species
UACAGGGGGGGGCAAGCUUGUUCGGAAUUACUGGGCGUAAAGGGCUCGUAGGUGGCCAACUAAGUCAGACGUGAAAUCCCUCAGCUUAACUGGGGAACUGCGUCUGAUACUGGAUGGCUUGAGUUUGGGAGAGGGAUGCGGAAUUCCAGGUGUAGCGGUGAAAUGCGCAGAUAUCAGGAGGAACACCGAUGGCGAAGGCAGAUCUCUGGGCCGUUACUGACGCUGAGGAGCGAAAGCGUGGGGAGCGAACAGG